AAAUUCCUCCUGAGGUUUAGUCAGAAUCUCUUUCCUCGUAAUUUGAAGCCAUGGGUUCGAGUCCUACCCUCCGGAGCAGGAGAAAACAAGCUUGCUCCAUCUCCCAUGGGACAGCCCUUGAGAUAUUUGAAGAUUGCUUUCAUAUCUCCUCUCAGUCUCCUCUUCUCCAGGCUAAACAUGCCCAGCUCCUUCAAC